CUGAAGCUAGUGAAAGAGAGA
rnacentral:miRNA from 1 species